AGGACGAACGCUGGCGGCGUGCUUAACACAUGCAAGUCGAACGGGGGUAUUGAAGAAGCUUGCUUUAGAGAUACUUUAGUGGCGGACGGGUGAGUAACGCGUGAGGAGCUGUCCUAUGCAGGGGGACAACAGCUGGAAACGGCUGCUAAUACCCCAUAAGCCGAGAGGUAAAAGGAUCAAUCCGGCAGAGGAGGUACUCGCGUCCUAUCAGCUAGUAGGUGAGGUAACGGCUCACCUAGGCGAAGACGGGUAGCCGGCCUGAGAGGGCGAACGGCCACACUGGAACUGAGAUACGGUCCAGACUCCUACGGGAGGCAGCAGUGGGGAAUAUUGGGCAAUGGGGGAAACCCUGACCCAGCGACGCCGCGUGGGUGAAGAAAUCCUUCGGGAUGUAAAGCCCUGUUGUAUGGGAAGAGCGGAAGACGGUACCAUACGAGGAAGCCCCGGCAAACUACGUG
rnacentral:rRNA from 1 species